ACAGACCUGCGUCUGAUGCAGUUGCUCUGUUGAGCUUCAAUUGGUUUUUGCUCGGAACACUGACAUAUCCUACGUUGCCAAGGAUCACCCCUGUAUUUGCACCAGUGUUAUGGACUCUCUCAGACAGGGCUGUGGAGCUGCUAGGUUUCUGAAUCUUUUGAGUUUUUUUGCUUUUCGCAGUCUGACACAUACUACACACUGUUUCUGGUCCUGUUGAUGCGUGUAAACUAAAAGUUUAUCAAAUGUUUGUUCUUUUUGGGGUUUUGUCUUGUAAAUUUCUCCUGAAGGAGAUAGGUUUUGCUUAAACAGUUGUGUUAUUGAUGUCAUGGAUGAUAAGUAAAUGUAUA
rnacentral:misc_RNA from 1 species